UGAAGAGAGAUAGAGAGAUAGCAGAGCGUGGAAGGAGACAAAAGAGAUGGAAGACCAAAAUAGAUAGAAUGUGUUGUCUGAAUAAGCAAAAGUGGAAAAAGGAAAAAAAAUGUGUCCCUCCAUAAUCUUCAAAGUAGGCCUCAGGAGUUGGAGGAAAUUACUGUUUACAGUCUGAGGAAUUGUUUUGUAAUUUGUCCCCAAGUUUAGAACUGGAUACUCAGCUCAGUCUACAAGGUAUUCACUAAGAGGCCACUGGAGUUUACAGUGGAGCUCUUUCUAUAUGAAGGUUUAGUGUGUUUCGCUUUUGUACAUUGUUAUACCAACUGUUGGAGAGUUGUACUUUUUACUGUAGCUGUUGAUCUCAGGUGAACAAACAGGUUGCAUAAAGCUAAAUAAUAAAGUAAAUCAUUAACGUCA